AGCUGGAAGCGUUGCUGCUCACACAUCCGGACAUCCUCGACUCCGCCGUCAUACCGUAAGUGGCGAUCCCCUUCCUGCUCCUCUCGUGGGCCAUUGCCGCGCUCGACGCUGAGAUGCCUCCUGCGCGCUGAUCUUGCUGCAGGUUCCCUGACAAGGAGGUUGGUCAGUUCCCAAUGGCGUACGUCGUGAGGAAGGAAGGGAGCCGCCUGACGGAGGCCGAGGUGAUGGACUUCGUCGCCGGGAAGGUGGCGCCGUACAAGAGAAUCCGGAGAGUUGCCUUCGUGCCCGCCGUCCCAAAGAACCCCUCCGGCAAAAUACUGAGGAAGGAUCUGAUCAAGCUCGCCACCUCCAAGAUCUGAACGACGAAAUCUGUCCAUUCGUCGGGUCAUCUUCAAUGAGUGAUCGGUGUGUCGUCCCAAUUUUCUUGCAUCGUUCAUAGAGUGAUUCAACAAUAAAAAAAAAAAUUCUUGCCUGCGUGGGGACAAUGUGUUGCGCCCGCAAGGACCAUACCGGUAGGCGGCAUCGAGAAUGCCUGCCGCCUCUCUGUCGCAAGGUCCAAACUCAUUAAAGAUGAGGCCCACAGGAUAAGGGUUCAUAACCACUAAGAUGAGACGAUGGGCCGGGAAUAUCUUCUCUUUUGACUUUCUCACAGAUCACAGGACAGAGAAGAAGACCCCAAAAGGAUAUACUCAUUCGUUCCUCUUCCAAAAUGGGCCCAACGCAGAAAUUCGUAAGAUCACGUCCUCUAAGCCGAACACUGGGCUCAAUUCGUGGAGCCUAGUCCUACGAUUACAGAUUUUUAUUUACCGGGUUUUAUCGAUCCCACGUCGUACCGUGCUGCCGCGUUGUUGGCCGACUUAUCCGCGCCUGUAUCAAAUCUUCAAUUUCGGAGUAGACUACGCGUGAGCCGAGCAUGAACGUUCGACUUUCCUAGCGUAUCUAUUCUGUCGCGCUGGUGUAUUUGUGACUGGGAAUCGGAAAGAUGUCGGACCCGAUGAGAGAUGGAAGGGGCCCCCAAGCUCUCGCCAGGUCUCCACUGGGAGACAGCUACCACACUGCAAGUGCAACGCAAAUCUGACCGGCUCCUCACGCUCCCUGUUUGCAGCUGGAACCCUUCUGGCCCAGCAGUGACAGCCGAAGAACAACAAGUCGUAGACAGUUGCG
rnacentral:lncRNA from 1 species